rnacentral:misc_RNA from 1 species
AGAUGGAGCUUAUGGCCAAUAGGAUGUUCUGGCUGUAUCAUAUAAAAAUUUGAUGAAACUGAAACUGAAAUAUAUCCAUUUUAUGUAGCGGUGAUGAAAAUUUGUAUUGAUCUAUAGCUUUUUCUUCUGUCUUCUGUUGUUUCUUUGAUCUUUAUGGUUGAUAUGGAGUGUUUAUUAAAUAUGGAAUCCCAUAACCAAUAAUGCAACCUUAAUUCAAAAAUAAAUUCAUCACUUUGGUUGCUUAAAGUUUAUUGGUAUUGUCCUCAUAAGUUUCCUGUUAGAAAAAUAGAUCUUCAUGUUAGAUUAACUUUUUAUCUUUUAUUGUCUUUAUAUUUGGGACAUGAUGCUUUAGAUAGUUGAGCUUAUUGAUUUGGAAUUUAAUAAUUCUCUGAAAAAUUGGGGAAGAUAGAAGAAACCCCUUGGUGCUUUGACAUGGCAAAUACAAUUGACACUUCAACAAACGCCCCACUGCAACAUACAAGGGGGAGCAGUUUAAAAGGACUUAAUUUGCUAGAGCUGCCUAUAUUUGAUUUUGAAAGCAUAUUGGUUGCAACUGAUAACUUCAACACUGCAAACAAACUUGGGCUUGGAGGUUUCAGUUCAGUUUAUAAGUUGAUUAGUCAGAUCUAUCUGACAAAAAAAGUGCAUACAUGAUUAGAUUGUUAAUUUGUGAACUUUUUACAGGGGAAACUAAAAGA